GCACUAUGAGUGGUAGAGUGUGCAUCUCCUGAGUGCAUGCUCCAUCUGAAGCUAGCAUGUUUUUGAGGAGGCAGAACCUUGGAUCUGGCCACACACUGAGCCCCUAGAGCGUAAGACGUCUUCCCUCCCCAGCAACAAAUACUAUGUGAAAACAAGCUACAUGGCCAUGACGGUGAAUUAGAGAUUUAAGAGAACCCAUCAUAAGUAAUUCAAAAUCACUCUGGGAUGAAUCAAAGCUAUUAUGGAGAUAUUGCUGAUUGCAUUCAUUGGCACCCAGUGAUAGGGAGUGUCAUUGAACGUGAUGGUUCUGAAUGCCACAGUUACGAGAAAUCUGCGCUUACCCAUUAAUUUAUACAGCUGUCAGGAAUCACAUCUCUGGAUGCUGAAGGAACCUGCCAAUGUGAUAUCUGAGCAACUGUCAUUGCACAUGGAGAAUCCUAAAGGAAGAGAGAAGAGCCAGGAGCUAUAAAGGUGAGAAACUGUCUCCAAUUGUUAAAGGGAAGAACAUAAUUCAUAUUAGAUAUUACAGGUUUUUUGCACCAUCUAAAGUAGGCAAUUAAGUAGAUGUUGUAUUUAAAUGCUUAGCAUAUGCGAUGCCUCUAAUUAUGUACUUGAGAAAUACCCAAUAACUGAAUGGAUGCCGAUUGAGUGGAAUUAAUGAUCACUGCAGGACUGAAUGGACCAUUGAAGGGCA